rnacentral:tRNA from 1 species
GCCUGGGUGGCUCAGUUGGUUAAGCGUCUGACUUUGGCUCAGGUCGUGAUCUCACAGUUCGUGGGUUCGAGCCCCGUGUCGGGCU